rnacentral:rRNA from 1 species
AACGAACGCUGGCGGCAUGCCUUACACAUGCAAGUCGAGCGCGAAAGGGGGCAACCCCGAGUAGAGCGGCGGACGGGUGAGUAACGCAUCGGAACGUGCCCAGUAGUGGGGGACAACCUCGAGAAAUCGAGGCUAAUACCGCAUACGACCCACGGGUGAAAGCGGGGGACCGCAAGGCCUCGCGCUAUUGGAGCGGCCGAUGUCCGAUUAGCUAGUUGGCGGGGUAAGAGCCCACCAAGGCGACGAUCGGUAGCUGGUCUGAGAGGACGACCAGCCACACUGGGACUGAGACACGGCCCAGACUCCUACGGGAGGCAGCAGUGGGGAAUUUUGGACAAUGGGGGCAACCCUGAUCCAGCCAUGCCGCGU